rnacentral:rRNA from 1 species
UACGUAGGGUGCGAGCGUUAAUCGGAAUUACUGGGCGUAAAGCGUGCGCAGGCGGUUCGUUAAGUUCGAUGUGAAAGCCCCGGGCUCAACCUGGGAACUGCAUUGGAAACUGGCGAGCUUGAAUGCGGUAGAGGGGGGUGGAAUUCCGCGUGUAGCAGUGAAAUGCGUAGAGAUGCGGAGGAACACCGAUGGCGAAGGCAGCCCCCUGGGCCGACAUUGACGCUCAGGCACGAAAGCGUGGGGAGCAAACAGG